rnacentral:rRNA from 1 species
AUGGCGCCUAUUAGCUACGACCUAGUGCACCUCACAGGUCAUAGUGAAUGGUCCACUCAGGUAGUAGAGAGAUCAUUGGGGGUGAUGCUUCGGUUGAUUGUGACUGCCAAGGGAGACACUGGGGAAGACCUGCGUCAACGGAUCUUAAGUGAUGAAGGAGCAAUUUCCACCAUGAAAAAAAUUGUUGUCUGCGAAGAAUGUAAAGGUGGAGAACCGCAGAUGAAGGCCAUGCAGAUCCUCACGCAGCAAUGCAUGGAUGAAACUGUAAACAGAGGUAAUCUAACUAAGAUGCUCGUAAGCAUCUUCGUUGAUGGCGAUAGCAGCAAUGCCUCCAUCAGAAAGACUGCAGGUAAAACACUGGUGGUGCUGUUUCGCAGCAGCAAAAGCGCUGCCACCCUUCUCCCGAAGGAGGAACAUGAUGACUUUGUUGGUGGUCUUGCUAAAAUACUUUUACAAGUUGGAGACAACAACACAUGCAGAAACUAUGCUGCAGAAAUUCUGGAGCAUCUAUGUAUUCAGUAUGCUGAGAAUGGUGAAUAUCUCAGCACACUCAAGAACACCAUUACAGGUGUGAUGCCAGAGGUACGCACGCACAUAAUCCUUUAUUUAUUUAUUUCUAUUUUACAAGCAAGGUGA